CCUGAUGACCAUAGCGAGUCGGUSCCACCCCUUCCCAUCCCGAACAGGACCGUGAAACGACUCCACGCCAAUGAUAGUGCGGAUUGCCCGUGUGAAAGUAGGUAAUCGUCAGGC
rnacentral:rRNA from 16 species